AGUCGAGCGGAGAUGAGGUGCUUGCACCUUAUCUUAGCGGCGGACGGGUGAGUAAUGCUUAGGAAUCUGCCUAUUAGUGGGGGACAACAUUCCGAAAGGAAUGCUAAUACCGCAUACGUCCUACGGGAGAAAGCAGGGGAUCUUCGGACCUUGCGCUAAUAGAUGAGCCUAAGUCGGAUUAGCUAGUUGGUGGGGUAAAGGCCUACCAGGGCGACGAUCUGUAGCGGGUCUGAGAGGAUGAUCCGCCACACUGGGACUGAGACACGGCCCAGACUCCUACGGGAGGCAGCAGUGGGGAAUAUUGGACAAUGGGGGGAACCCUGAUCCAGCCAUGCCGCGUGUGUGAAGAAGGCCUUAUGGUUGUAAAGCACUUUAAGCGAGGAGGAGGCUACUGAGACUAAUACUCUUGGAUAGUGGACGUUACUCGCAGAAUAAGCACCGGCUAACUCUGUGCCAGCAGCCGCGGUAAUACAGAGGGUGCGAACGUUAAUCGGAUUUACUGGGCGUAAAGCGUGCGUAGGCGGCUUUUUAAGUCGGAUGUGAAAUCCCCGAGCUUAACUUGGGAACUGCAUUCGAUACUGGGAAGCUAGAGUAUGGGAGAGGAUGGUAGAAUUCCAGGUGUAGCGGUGAAAUGCGUAGAGAUCUGGAGGAAUACCGAUGGCGAAGGCAGCCAUCUGGCCUAAUACUGACGCUGAGGUACGAAAGCAUGGGGAGCAAACAGGAUUAGAUACCCUGGUAGUCCAUGCCGUAAACGAUGUCUAUUAGCCGUUGGGGCCUUUGAGGCUUUAGUGGCGCAGCUAACGCGAUAAGUAGACCGCCUGGGGAGUACGGUCGCAAGACUAAAACUCAAAUGAAUUGACGGGGGCCCGCACAAGCGGUGGAGCAUGUGGU
rnacentral:rRNA from 1 species